GCCAUGGCUCAGUGGUAGAGCAUCUGUUUAGCAUGCAGAAGGUCCCAGGUCCAAACCCAAGCAUCUGCA
rnacentral:tRNA from 1 species